rnacentral:rRNA from 1 species
GACGAACGCUGGCGGCGCGCUUAACACAUGCAAGUCGAGCGAGAACCAGGGCUUCGGCCCUGGGGACAGCGGCGAACGGGUGAGUAACACGUGGAUAACCUGCCCUCGGCACCGGGAUAGCCCGGGGAAACCCGGAUUAAUACCGGAUGGCCCUUCCGGCUCACGAGCCGGUCGGAAAAGGUAGCUUCGGCCUCCGGCCGAGGAUGGGUCCGCGGCGGAUUAGCUUGUUGGUGGGGUAACGGCCCACCAAGGCUCCGAUCCGUAGCUGGGCUGAGAGGACGAUCAGCCACACUGGGACUGGGAAACGGCCCAGACUCCUACGGGAGGCAGCAGUGGGGAAUCUUGCGCAAUGGGCGAAAGCCUGACGCAGCGACGCCGCGUGAGGGAGGAAGGCCUUCGGGUUGUAAACCUCUUUCAGGAGGGACGAAGCUACUCGGGUGAAUAGCCCAGAGGGUGACGGUACCUCCAGAAGAAGCCCCGGCUAACUACGUGCCAGCCGCCGCCGUAAAAC